GAUGAACGCUGGCGGCGUGCCUAAUACAUGCAAGUCGAGCGAACAGACGAGGAGCUUGCUCCUCUGACGUUAGCGGCGGACGGGUGAGUAACACGUGGAUAACCUACCUAUAAGACUGGGAUAACUUCGGGAAACCGGAGCUAAUACCGGAUAACAUGUUGAACCGCAUGGUUCAACAGUGAAAAACGGUCUUGCUGUCACUUAUAGAUGGAUCCGCGCCGCAUUAGCUAGUUGGUAAGGUAACGGCUUACCAAGGCAACGAUGCGUAGCCGACCUGAGAGGGUGAUCGGCCACACUGGAACUGAGACACGGUCCAGACUCCUACGGGAGGCAGCAGUAGGGAAUCUUCCGCAAUGGGCGAAAGCCUGACGGAGCAACGCCGCGUGAGUGAAGAAGGUCUUCGGAUCGUAAAACUCUGUUAUUAGGGAAGAACAAAUGUGUAAGUAACUAUGCACGUCUUGACGGUACCUAAUCAGAAAGCCACGGCUAACUACGUG
rnacentral:rRNA from 1 species